GGGUGAUGGCCUACCAAGGCUUUGACGGGUAGCCGGCCUGAGAGGGUGACCGGUCACACUGGGACUGAGAUACGGCCCAGACUCCUACGGGAGGCAGCAGUGGGGAAUAUUGCACAAUGGGCGAAAGCCUGAUGCAGCGACGCCGCGUGAGGGAUGACGGCCUUCGGGUUGUAAACCUCUUUCAGUAAGGACGCAGGCCUAGGCUUUUGUUUGGGUUGACUUUACUUACAGAAGAAGCGCCGGCUAACUACGUGCCAGCAGCCGCGGUAAUACGUAGGGCGCAAGCGUUGUCCGGAAUUAUUGGGCGUAAAGAGCUCGUAGGCGGUUUGUCGCGUCUGUCGUGAAAACCCACAGCUUAACUGUGGGCUUGCGGUGGGUACGGGCAGGCUUGAGUGCGGUAGGGGAGACUGGAAUUCCUGGUGUAGCGGUGGAAUGCGCAGAUAUCAGGAGGAACACCGGUGGCGAAGGCGGGUCUCUGGGCCGUUACUGACGCUGAGGAGCGAAAGCAUGGGGAGCGAACAGGAUUAGAUACCCUGGUAGUCCAUGCCGUAAACGUUGGGCACUAGGUGUGGGGGCUGUUUCCAUGGUUCCUGCGCCGUAGCUAACGCAUUAAGUGCCCCGCCUGGGGAGUACGGUCGCAAGGCUAAAACUCAAAGGAAUUGACGGGGGCCCGCACAAGCGGCGGAGCAUGCGGAUUAAUUCGAUGCAACGCGAAGAACCUUACCAAGGCUUGACAUACAUCCAGAGUCUGCAGAGAUGUGGGCGCAUUUAGUUGGGGGUGUACAGGUGGUGCAUGGUUGUCGUCAGCUCGUGUCGUGAGAUGUUGGAGUUAAGUCCCGCAACGAGCGCAACCCUUGUCUCAUGUUGCCAGCACGUUAUGGUGGGGACUCGUGAGAGACUGCCGGGGUUAACUCGGAGGAAGGUGGGGAUGACGUCAAAUCAUCAUGCCCCUUAUGUCUUGGGCUUCACGCAUGCUACAAUGGCCAGUACAGAGGGUUGCGAUAUCGUAAGGUUGAGCGAAUCCCUUAAAGCUGGUCUCAGUUCGGAUUGGGGUCUGCAACUCGACCCCAUGAAGUCGGAGUCGCUAGUAAUCGCAGAUCAGCAACGCUGCGGUGAAUACGUUCUCGGGCCUUGUACACACCGCCCGUCACGUCACGAAAGUUGGUAACACCCGAAGCCCAUGGCCUAACCG
rnacentral:rRNA from 1 species